rnacentral:lncRNA from 1 species
UCCUCUCAUUUUUCUUUAAAAUUAGCUUUUUCAUCGAAUUUGUUCGAAAACUGUGGUAUACCACCUUCGGCAGUUUGUCAGCGCGUCACAACGCCAUGUUUUUUUUCCUUUGACACUGCACAACGAUUCAAAAAGCUUUCCUUUUUCUUUGUGGGUAGGAUUUCUGUUAAUGUUUUUGAUUUCGUUCUGUUUGUCAAUUUCCAUUGUAGGAUUUAUGUUGUUUGUGCUAUUUCAGAAAUCUUUUAAACUGAUUGUGUAUGAAAUUCUCUCUCUCGCUCCAUGAUUCCUAGGAUUUUCAUUCUUGGAAUUUUUGUGAGUGUUUCUGUUCUCUCCUACGAUUGCUGUAGGAUCCGUCUGCCCAAUUGCCACUGCAAUCAGGCCUUUUGUCCCUAUCGGUUAUAUCCGGUGGAGGCGCAUGCUGAUUGUGGCGGAGGAUGAACGGUGAUUCGUUGAAUUUCUGAUUUACCGACUUUUUUCCGUGGCUGUGCUCUUUUCUCUCCAUCGCGUUUGCUGUAGGUUAUUUUUCUCUCAAUUACCAAGGCAACAGCCAAUUAUAUUAGACUAUAGGAGAUGUUGCAUGGUUAGUUGUGGCGGUGGAUAGGAUUGGUGAAUCGGUGGAUUCUGGUAUGGUGUUUGAUGAUCUAUUAUGCUACUUUCAGUCUGAUAAGGUGUUUUAUGAUAUAUUUUGCUACUUUCAGUCUGGUAUGAGGUUUGAUCAUCUGUUCUGCUAAUUUCAGUCUGGUAUGGUGUUUUACUGAUGGUUUCAAGGUCCAUGACGUCUUUCAUUUUCAUAUUCAUUCUAUGAAUGUCUUCUACUUUACUGCCAUUGUUCUAUUCACUGAGGUUACAAUAUCUGCUACUGCCUACCGGUGGCGGAGCCAAGCGUGGCUUGCAGUGGCCGGACCCCAACGG